rnacentral:rRNA from 1 species
UCCCAGACUCCUACGGGAGGCAGCAGUUAGGAAUAUUCGUCAAUGGGGGAAACCCUGAACGAGCAAUGCCGCGUGAGUGAUGAAGGCCCUAUGGGUUGUAAAACUCUGUUGUUAAGAAAGAAUGGUAGAAUUAGGAAAUGAGUUCUACUUGACGGUACUUUUCAAGAAAGCCACGACUAACUACGUGCCAGCAGUCGCGGUAAUACGUAGGUGGCGAGCGUUAUCCGGAUUUAUUGGGCGUAAAGCGUGCGCAGGCGGCUUAUUAAGUCUAAGAUUAAAGCCCGGAGCUUAACUCCGGUUCGUCUUAGAAACUGGUAGACUUGAGUAUGGUAGAGGCAAACGGAAUUCCUGGUGUAGCGGUGGAAUGCGUAGAUAUUAGGAGGAACACCAGUGGCGAAGGCGGUUUGCUGGGCCAUUACUGACGCUCAUGCACGAAAGCGUGGGGAGCAAAUAGGAUUAGAUACCCUAGUAGA